rnacentral:rRNA from 1 species
UAUGGCUCAGAUUGAACGCUGGCGGCGUGCUUAACACAUGCAAGUCGCGCGUGAAAGGACUUCGGUCCGAGUAAAGCGGCGCACGGGUGAGUAACGCGUGGAUGAUCUACCCAUGAGUUAGGAAUAACGGCUGGAAACGGUCGCUAAUACCAAAUACGCUCCGAUUUCAACUUCGGGGGAAAGGUGGCCUCUGCUUGCAAGCUACUGCUCAUGGAUGAGUCCGCGUCCCAUUAGCUAGUUGGUGGGGUAACGGCCCACCAAGGCGACGAUGGGUAGCCGGUCUGAGAGGAUGACCGGCCACACUGGGACUGGAACACGGCCCAGACUCCUACGGGAGGCAGCAGUGGGGAAUAUUGCGCAAUGGGCGAAAGCCUGACGCAGCGACGCCGCGUGAGGGAUGAAGGUCCUCGGAUCGUAAACCUCUGUCAGGAGGGAAGAACCGCCACGGUGCUAAUCAGCCGUGGUCUGACGGUACCUCCAAAGGAAGCACCGGCUAACUCCGUGCCAGCAGCGGC